rnacentral:rRNA from 1 species
UAGGGAAUCUUCCGCAAUGGACGCAAGUCUGACGGAGCAACGCCGCGUGAGUGAAGAAGGUUUUCGGAUCGUAAAACUCUGUUGUUAGAGAAGAACAAGUGCUAGAGUAACUGUUAGCGCCUUGACGGUAUCUAACCAGAAAGCCACGGCUAACUACGUGCCAGCAGCCGCGGUAAUACGUAGGUGGCAAGCGUUGUCCGGAUUUAUUGGGCGUAAAGCGAGCGCAGGCGGUUCCUUAAGUCUGAUGUGAAAGCCCCCGGCUCAACCGGGGAGGGUCAUUGGAAACUGGGGAACUUGAGUGCAGAAGAGGAGAGUGGAAUUCCAUGCGUAGCGGUGAAAUGCGUAGAUAUAUGGAGGAACACCAGUGGCGAAGGCGACUCUCUGGUCUGUAACUGACGCUGAGGCUCGAAAGCGUGGGUAGCAAACAGGAUUAGAUACCCUGGUAGUCCACGCCGUAAACGAUGAGUGCUAAGUGUUGGAGGGUUUCCGCCCUUCAGUGCUGCAGUUAACGCAUUAAGCACUCCGCCUGGGGAGUACGACCGCAAGGUUG